UCAUAUACAAUUAAAAAACAGAACACGCACUCAUUAAUUUGUUCUGAAUUAGUGCCAGCCAAAAGAGCAGUAGAUUUAGCUUUAAAAUCUUCACCGAUUGAGUGCAAAACCUAUUAUUAUAUUGAGACAGUCUAGGUGAUCACAAAAGAUUACAUAAAGGGGGUCCACACCGCGCCGGUCGGCGUGAAGCGAUGCGGAGCCGAAAAUGUUGUGAGCACAAGUUUACCGAAAGCAAGGAAGCACAGCUACCGAACUGUGACAACAUGUAUCCUGCCUUGUUUUCGGAGUCUAAACAAGAAGCACCAAAGUUUUAGUUUAUAGGCUACUUUGAAGUCAAUCGAAAGUGCGGCCGCGAUACRGCAACCAAAGGAUCCAGCGAAGGUGGGGCCACGGGGACUUAAAAGCUUCCAAAAGAAAGCCGAUCUUGGCGUAAAAUACUGAUCAUCCAAGUGUCACCUUGACAAGUCAAUAGAGUCAAUGGCAAACGAUCACCGAGAGAUUAAAUUAAAGCACUCCAGCUAGAAAACAACCCUCCGUUAAGGAACUUACUUGUUCAAGCCCUUGUUGUGAAUAGUACUCACCUCUAAUAGAUACCAUUYAUGCUAAAUCACGAUGGUAUACGAUUGGUUUCCGAUUGAUAAAGCGAGCACUCCACGAAUCAAGCCGACUCUUGAAUUUUGUAGAUGAAAUUGCAGGAGUACCUUUCGAGGAAAGCGGCCUACCUGACGGUGCUAUAGUUAUAUAUGGUAUAUGUUCCAGCUAGGUUGUAAGACUUACUUAAUAAUGAUGUUAAUCUUAAGGUGACUUCGUUAAAGCUUGCAGUGUUGGACACACCCUAAAUGCAUGCCGACAAAUAAACAAAAUAUUGAUAAAACUAUUCUUAAAAUGGCUGCUUUUUGAAUUUGCCGCAUGCUUACUYCAAGCUAAAUAGCACAUAUAUCUAUUUAAUGCAAAGUACCUUGUAAACAAAACCUUGUCAUUAUGUAAACCCCGGUCAUAAUCAAAAGCAUUCGAUUAAACAAAAAAUCAUGAUCACA